AAGCACGGACGGUUCAAUCCGGCGGUCGGACCUAGCGCCGACUCCGGACCCGCCCGGCUGCUGGCGGCGGUGUCCUCGGACAGACCCCGAUACACCGGUCGGCAACGCUUUAGCUUUGGGUACUUUCAGGACCCGUCUUGAAACACGGACCAAGGAGUCUAGCAUGUGCGCGAGUCAUUGGGACUAGCGAAACCUAAAGGCGAAAUGAAAGUGAAGGCCGCUUCAGGGCGUGCCGAGGGAGGAUGCGUCGCGCCUAGGCGCGGCGCCGCACUCCCGGGGCGUCUCGUGCUCAUUGCGAGCUGAGGCGCACCCAGAGCGUACACGCUGGGACCCGAAAGAUGGUGAACUAUGCCUGGUCAGGACGAUAGUCWGGGGAAACCCUGAUGGAGGUCCGUAGCGAUUCUGACGUG
rnacentral:rRNA from 1 species